rnacentral:rRNA from 1 species
GGAUUAGAUACCCGGGUAGUCCAUGCCGUAAACGUUGGGAACUAGAUGUGGGGGCCAUUCCACGGCUUCCGUGUCGCAGCUAACGCAUUAAGUUCCCCGCCUGGGGAGUACGGCCGCAAGGCUAAAACUCAAAGGAAUUGACGGGGGCCCGCACAAGCGGCGGAGCAUGCUGAUUAAUUCGAUGCAACGCGAAGAACCUUACCAAGGCUUGACAUAUACGAGAACGGGCUAGAAAUAGUCAACUCUUUGGACACUCGUAUACAGGUGGUGCAUGGUUGUCGUCAGCUCGUGUCGUGAGAUGUUGGGUUAAGUCCCGCAACGAGCGCAACCCUCGUUCUAUGUUGCCAGCACGUAAUGGUGGGAACUCAUAGGAGACUGCCGGGGUCAACUCGGA